GACGAACGCUGGCGGCGUGCUUAACACAUGCAAGUCGAACGGAGUGGCGAACGGGUGAGUAACACGUGGGUGACCUCCCCUGCACUUCAGGAUAAGCCUGGGAAACUGGGUCUAAUACCGGGUAGUGUGGGAUGGGCCCGGGGCCAAUCAGCUUGUUGGGGGGGUAAUGGCCUACCAAGGCGGCGACGGGUAGCCGGCCUGAGAGGGGGGCGGGCCACAGUGGGACUGAGAGACGGCCCAGAAUCCUACGGGAGGCAGCAGUGGGGAAUAUGGCACAAUGGGCGGAAGCCUGAUGCAGCGACGCCGCGUGGGGGAUGACGGCCUUCGGGUUGUAAACACCUUUCACCAUCGACGCGGUAGAUGGAGAAGAAGCACCGGCUAACUACGUGCCAGCAGCCGCGGUAAUAC
rnacentral:rRNA from 1 species